UAGGGAAUCUUCGGCAAUGGACGAAAGUCUGACCGAGCAACGCCGCGUGAGUGAAGAAGGUUUUCGGAUCGUAAAACUCUGUUGUUAGAGAAGAACAAGGACGUUAGUAACUGAACGUCCCCUGACGGUAUCUAACCAGAAAGCCACGGCUAACUACGUGCCAGCAGCCGCGGUAAUACGUAGGUGGCAAGCGUUGUCCGGAUUUAUUGGGCGUAAAGCGAGCGCAGGCGGUUUCUUAAGUCUGAUGUGAAAGCCCCCGGCUCAACCGGGGAGGGUCAUUGGAAACUGGGAGACUUGAGUGCAGAAGAGGAGAGUGGAAUUCCAUGUGUAGCGGUGAAAUGCGUAGAUAUAUGGAGGAACACCAGUGGCGAAGGCGGCUCUCUGGUCUGUAACUGGCGCUGAGGCUCGAAAGCGUGGGGAGCAAACAGG
rnacentral:rRNA from 2 species